UACGUAGGGUCCGAGCGUUGUCCGGAAUUAUUGGGCGUAAAGAGCUCGUAGGCGGUUUGUCGCGUCUGCUGUGAAAUCCCGAGGCUCAACCUCGGGCCUGCAGUGGGUACGGGCAGACUGGAGUGCGGUAGGGGAGAUCGGAAUUCCUGGUGUAGCGGUGAAAUGCGCAGAUAUCAGGAGGAACACCGGUGGCGAAGGCGGAUCUCUGGGCCGUAACUGACGCUGAGGAGCGAAAGCAUGGGGAGCGAACAGG
rnacentral:rRNA from 1 species